GACAACGGCCUGCGAGCAGGCUAGGGCGUGGCUGAACCUAUGGGCUGAACCAAUCAGAGCUCGCGAGAAGAAGCUGUAUGCAAGAAGUCGUGGCGAAUUUGAAAAUUCUGCUCGCCAUUUUGACUCGAAGCUUAGCAAGAAAUUCAUAUUUUAAAAGCGUUUUAUCAAACUUUAUCGAAAUAAAAUAGUUAUGCCAUGCAAGGGGACAGGUUAGUAUUAAACUUAGCUAUAUUGUAAACGUUUAUGAGCUGUUCUUGUCAAGUUCUAGCCGUGUUUUGAAACACGUGCUACAAAUUCAUUGAAUUACUUCGCCUCCCAUCCAAGCACUUCUUUAUCGUUUAGUCGCUUCAUUUCCUUUGUAUUUCUCCCAAAUUUUCUCGCAGUAAUGUUCAGAAAUACCCCAGCUUUAAUUGAUAUAACUCUUAUUUGUUUUAUCUACUUUUUCAGGCAACAAUUUGACGAGAAAGUUGACAAAGUUUACUGAUUUACAGUAAUUAAGUCGCCGACCUGCCGAAGACUCUCGAAGCAC